UACGUAGGUGGCAAGUGUUGUCCGGAUUUACUGGGCGUAAAGAGCGCGCAGGCGGUUUCGUAAGUCUGUCGUGAAAGCCCCGGGCUCAACCUGGGAAUUGCGAUGGAGACUGCGAGGCUAGAGUGUGUCAGAGGGGGGUAGAAUUCCACGUGUAGCAGUGAAAUGCGUAGAUAUGUGGAGGAACACCGAUGGCGAAGGCAGCCCCCUGGGAUAACACUGACGCUCAUGCACGAAAGCGUGGGGAGCAAACAGG
rnacentral:rRNA from 1 species